AACUCCCCGCAGAACGCCCGCAGAACUCCCACGAAAAUCUCCGAUUUCGGCUCAGAUUUAAACCCCUUUUGCACGAAACUUUGCCUAUAAAUACCCCAUAUUCUUCUCAAUAUCUUGACACCAAAAGCCCCAAUUUUUACGCCGCCAGGCUGCGCGAAAUUUCUCGCCGGAGUUCGACGCCGCCGCCGCCAUUGGAGCUCAUAACCGGAGGGCACUAGGACGCGGAGAAAGCAUCGCCGGAGUUCGUCGCUGCCCGAGCCGCUCCAGCCGUCCGUCACCGCUGUUCGAGGAAGACGCAAAUACCUCCGAGCACACCACCUUGACAGCCACGUCCAGCCGCACCUCAUUCGCCAACCCGCCGCAGUCGUAAACCAUCCGGAGAGGCCAAGAAGCAUCACGUCCGAGCCGUCCUACCACCACCUCGCGUCGUCUGUGCCAUUAUUGCCCGGAUUGCAACGAGUGCGAUUGCGACGCCUGUCUGAACACCAAUCAAGG